UACGAGGGGGGCAAGCGUUGUUCGGAAUUAUUGGGCGUAAAGGGUGCGUAGGCGGUCUGAUAAGUCAUCUGUGAAAUCUACAGGCUCAACUUGCAGUCUGCAUGAGAAACUGCCGGGCUUGAGUAUGGGAGAGGUGAGUGGAAUUCCUGGUGUAGCGGUGAAAUGCGUAGAUAUCAGGAGGAACACCUGUGGCGAAAGCGGCUCACUGGACCAUAACUGACGCUGAUGCACGAAAGCUAGGGGAGCAAACAGG
rnacentral:rRNA from 1 species